GCUGCAACGCCAUGCUAGCCUGAUGGGAUCUCCGGAAAGAAGAGCCACAAACUCCCAGAAUGUCCAGGCCAGAAGGGACCUCAGAAUCUACGUCAUCUGAUCAAGCCUCCCUUUUUAAAUAUCACCGAAGAGUGGCUGUCCAGGCUCUGCUUGGAGCCCACCAGGGAUGGGGAGCUCACCACCUCUGAGGCAGUCCAUUCCACUUUGGGGCAGCUCUAUACAUCUGCCUCUCUGUAGCACCUGCUCAUUGCUCCUGCUUCUGUCCCCCCUUCUUCCCUCCCUCAGGCCCCUCAAACCUCCUGCUCCAGAGAAGGGUUCUCUUAGCCCUGCCAACCCAGAUGUUGGGAAUGGGAUCUCCAGAGGGCCCUUAGCCUUGGGAGUCACCUGGCCAUGCAGGUUGGAAGACUGGCAGAUCGUAGGGCUUCCUCCCCUAACCCUGGUGGUCUGUUUACGGGUAUGUUGCCUUGGAAACAGAGGCAAAUAGUGGAGAUGAAGAAUGAGUCCCAGAUGAGGGCCCAAAGAGGGGAGUCCUGGGGAACCAGCUGGAGCAUCCCCCAGCAGAUGGGAAUCUUUAUUUUCUCCACAUAAGAGACACAGGCAAACCAUUUGGUGUUAUUGAAGAUCCCAACCACAAACAGGAUUUCUAAAAAAAUGAAAAAUAAAAUCAACAUGUCCA
rnacentral:lncRNA from 1 species